CCUAGGGUGGCAGCAGUGGGGAAUAUUGGACAAUGGGCGAAAGCCUGAUCCAGCCAUGCCGCGUGUGUGAAGAAGGCCUUCGGGUUGUAAAGCACUUUCAGUGGGGAAGAAAGCCUUGGGGCUAAUACCCUCGAGGGAGGACAUCACCCACAGAAGAAGCACCGGCUAACUCCGUGCCAGCAGCCGCGGUAAUACGGAGGGUGCGAGCGUUAAUCGGAAUUACUGGGCGUAAAGCGCGCGUAGGCGGUCUGAUAAGCCGGUUGUGAAAGCCCCGGGCUCAACCUGGGAACGGCAUCCGGAACUGUCAGGCUAGAGUGCAGGAGAGGAAGGUAGAAUUCCCGGUGUAGCGGUGAAAUGCGUAGAGAUCGGGAGGAAUACCAGUGGCGAAGGCGGCCUUCUGGACUGACACUGACGCUGAGGUGCGAAAGCGUGGGUAGCAAACAGGAUUAGAUACCCGAGUAGUC
rnacentral:rRNA from 1 species